CUUGUCCAAGCUCGAAUGUGAAAUUCCCCGGGCUCACCUUGGGAAACUGCAUCGAAAACUGCCAGGCUAGAGUCUUGUAGAGGGGGGUAGAAAUUCCAGGUGUAGCGUGAAAUGCGUAGAGAUCUGGAGGAAUACCGGUGCGAAGGGUGGCCCCCUGGACAAAAGACUGACGCUCAGGUGUGAAAAGCGUGGGGAGCAAACAAGGAUUAGAUACCCUGGUAGUCCACGCCGUAAACGAUGUCGAUUUGGGAGGUUGUGCCCUUGAGGCGUGGCUUCCGGAGCUAACGCGUUAAAUCGACCGCCUGGGGAGUACGGCCGCAAGGUUAAAACUCAAAUGAAUUGACGGGGGCCCGCACAAGCGGUGGAGCAUGUGGUUUAAUUCGAUGCAACGCGAAGAACCUUACCUGGUCUUGACAUCCACAGAACUUUCCAGAGAUGGAUUGGUGCCUUCGGGAACUGUGAGACAGGUGCUGCAUGGCUGUCGUCAGCUCGUGUUGUGAAAUGUUGGGUUAAGUCCCGCAACGAGCGCAACCCUUAUCCUUUGUUGCCAGCGGUUCGGCCGGGAACUCAAAGGAGACUGCCAGUGAUAAACUGGAGGAAGGUGGGGAUGACGUCAAGUCAUCAUGGCCCUUACGACCAGGGCUACACACGUGCUACAAUGGCAUAUACAAAGAGAAGCGACCUCGCGAGAGCAAGCGGACCUCAUAAAGUAUGUCGUAGUCCGGAUUGGAGUCUGCAACUCGACUCCAUGAAGUCGGAAUCGCUAGUAAUCGUAGAUCAGAAUGCUACGGUGAAUACGUUCCCGGGCCUUGUACACACCGCCCGUCACACCAUGGGAGUGGGUGCAAAAGAAGUAGGUAG
rnacentral:rRNA from 1 species